GUGGAAACAAAGCAGAGCUUUAACUGUCCUGGAAAUUUCAGAAAGUGCACACUAGGAUGAAGCAGGAGCCUGGGCAGAGUCAAGACUGCCAGGGUGCUGAUUCAGGAAAAGAAGGUAUCCGUCAGCAAAAUUCAAGGCCUGGCAUGAAAUGGAUGAGGCAUGACCCUCCACAGGGCCCUUCUUCUUUUAAGGAACCCAAGAUCAACAGCCACUGAAGAUUUUUGAAGAUAUAAUUUAAUUAAUGCAGCUUCAAAAAGGAAAGAACUGACUUGACAGUUAAAGAUUUAUCAGACCACCCAGAGAGUUUUUGUGAUAAUGGAUAAAAAUUAACAAACAUUCAAAA